rnacentral:piRNA from 1 species
UUCNGGAGGUACUACCUGAUUCUAUGGCC